AGUUGGUCCGAAGGUUGUGGGUUAUUGUUAAACUGUUUAACAUUGUCUCCCCCCCACAGCCCCACUUGACUAGCUUGGCCUUUU
rnacentral:Y_RNA from 1 species